GAUCAUGGCUCAGGAUGAACGCUGGCGGCGUGCUUAACACAUGCAAGUCGAGCGAAGCACUCUGCUUUGAUUCUUUCGGGAUGAAGAGCAUUGUGACUUAGUGGCGGACGGGUGAGUAACGUGUGGGCAACCUGCCCUAUACUGGGGAAUAAUCACUGGAAACGGUGACUAAUACCGCAUGUCAUUACGGAAGGGCAUCCUUCUGUAAGAAAAGGAGUAAUUCGGUAUAGGAUGGG
rnacentral:rRNA from 1 species